rnacentral:rRNA from 1 species
UACAGAGGUCUCAAGCGUUGUUCGGAUUCAUUGGGCGUAAAGGGUGCGUAGGCGGCGCGGUAAGUCGGGUGUGAAAUCUCGGGGCUUAACUCCGAAACUGCAUUCGAUACUGUCGUGCUUGAGGACUGGAGAGGAGACUGGAAUUUACGGUGUAGCGGUGAAAUGCGUAGAUAUCGUAAGGAAGACCAGUGGCGAAGGCGGGUCUCUGGACAGUGCCUGACGCUGAGGCACGAAGGCCAGGGGAGCAAACGGG